rnacentral:rRNA from 1 species
UACGUAGGGGGCAAGCGUUGUCCGGAUUUAUUGGGCGUAAAGAGCGUGUAGGCGGCCAGGUAGGUCUGCUGUGAAAACUCGAGGCUUAACCUCGAGCUGUCGGCGGAAACCAGUCGUGCUAGAGUCCGGAAGAGGAGAAUGGAAUUCCCGGUGUAGCGGUGAAAUGCGCAGAUAUCGGGAAGAACACCCGUGGCGAAGGCGGUUCUCUGGGACGGUACUGACGCUGAGGCGCGAAAGCGUGGGGAGCGAACAGG